GACGAACGCUGGCGGCGUGCCUAAUACAUGCAAGUAGAACGCUGAAGAGAGGAGCUUGCUCUUCUUGGAUGAGUUGCGAACGGGUGAGUAACGCGUAGGUAACCUGCCUUGUAGCGGGGGAUAACUAUUGGAAACGAUAGCUAAUACCGCAUAACAAUGGAUGACACAUGUCAUUUAUUUGAAAGGGGCAAUUGCUCCACUACAAGAUGGACCUGCGUUGUAUUAGCUAGUAGGUGAGGUAACGGCUCACCUAGGCGACGAUACAUAGCCGACCUGAGAGGGUGAUCGGCCACACUGGGACUGAGACACGGCCCAGACUCCUACGGGAGGCAGCAGUAGGGAAUCUUCGGCAAUGGGGGCAACCCUGACCGAGCAACGCCGCGUGAGUGAAGAAGGUUUUCGGAUCGUAAAGCUCUGUUGUAAGUCAAGAACGAGUGUGAGAGUGGAAAGUUCACACUGUGACGGUAGCUUACCAGAAAGGGACGGCUAACUACGUGCCAGCAGCCGCGGUAAUACGUAGGUCCCGAGCGUUGUCCGGAUUUAUUGGGCGUAAAGCGAGCGCAGGCGGUUUGAUAAGUCUGAAGUUAAAGGCUGUGGCUCAACCAUAGUUUGCUUUGGAAACUGUCAAACUUGAGUGCAGAAGGGGAGAGUGGAAUUCCAUGUGUAGCGGUGAAAUGCGUAGAUAUAUGGAGGAACACCGGUGGCGAAAGCGGCUCUCUGGUCUGUAACUGACGCUGAGGCUCGAAAGCGUGGGGAGCGAACAGGAUUAGAUACCCUGGUAGUCCACGCCGUAAACGAUGAGUGCUAGGUGUUGGAUCCUUUCCGGGAUUCAGUGCCGCAGCUAACGCAUUAAGCACUCCGCCCGGGGAGUACGACCGCAAGGUUGAAACUCAAAGGAAUUGACGGGGGCCCGCACAAGCGGUGGAGCAUGUGGUUUAAUUCGAAGCAACGCGAAGAACCUUACCAGGUCUUGGCAUCCCGAUGCUAUUUCUAGAGAUAGAAAGUUACUUCGGUACAUCGGUGACAGGUGGUGCAUGGUUGUCGUCAGCUCGUGUCGUGAGAUGUUGGGUUAAGUCCCGCAACGAGCGCAACCCCUAUUGUUAGUUGCCAUCAUUCAGUUGGGCACUCUAGCGAGACUGCCGGUAAUAAACCGGAGGAAGGUGGGGAUGACGUCAAAUCAUCAUGCCCCUUAUGACCUGGGCUACACACGUGCUACAAUGGUUGGUACAACGAGUUGCAAGUCGGUGACGGCAAGCUAAUCUCUUAAAGCCAAUCUCAGUUCGGAUUGUAGGCUGCAACUCGCCUACAUGAAGUCGGAAUCGCUAGUAAUCGCGGAUCAGCACGCCGCGGUGAAUACGUUCCCGGGCCU
rnacentral:rRNA from 1 species